rnacentral:rRNA from 1 species
AUGGCAAGCCGGAAGCUUAAGCAAUAUUUUCAGGGUCAUCCAAUCACUGUGGUCAGUUCUGCUCCUUUGGGGGAUAUAAUCCAAAACAGGGAAGCAACUGGCCGGUUUGCCAAGUGGGCCAUUGAGCUUGGAACUCAUGGGUUAAAAUAUAUGCCUCGAACGGCAAUCAAGUCCCAAGCGUUGGUGGAUUUCAUCAAUGACUGGACAGAGUUACACGCGCCAGAAGAGAAGCCGGAUCAUACUUAUUGGACUAUUCAUUUUGAUGGGUCCAAGCAGUUGGAGGGCUCGGGGGCUGGAGUCGUGUUAACU